GACGAAGGUGGCAAGCGUUGCUCGGAAUCACUGGGCGUAAAGCGCACGUAGGCGGCUUUUUAAGUCAGGGGUGAAAUCCUGGAGCUCAACUCCAGAACUGCCUUUGAUACUGGGAAGCUUGAGUCCGGGAGAGGUGAGUGGAACUCCGAGUGUAGAGGUGAAAUUCGUAGAUAUUCGGAAGAACACCAGUGGCGAAGGCGGCUCACUGGCCCGGUACUGACGCUGAGGUGCGAAAGCGUGGGGAGCAAACAGG
rnacentral:rRNA from 1 species